rnacentral:rRNA from 1 species
UGUAGUCUCGCACAGAUGCAUAUCAAUAAGCGGAGGAAAAGAAACUAACAAGGAUUCCCCUAGUAACGGCGAGUGAAGCGGGAAGAGCUCAAAUUUGAAAUCUUAAAGGGUUUCCCUUUACGAAUUGUAGUUUAAAGAAGUGUUUUCUGUUGAGGUUUUGGUAAAAGUUCUUUGGAAUAGGACAUCAUAGAGGGUGAGAAUCCCGUAUUUGACCUUUACUUUCAACUUUGUGAUACACUUUCAAAGAGUCGGAUUGUUUGGGAAUGCAGUCCAAAAUGGGUGGUAAAUUUCAUCUAAAGCUAAAUAUUGGCGAGAGACCGAUAGCGAACAAGUACCGUGAGGGAAAGAUGAAAAGAACUUUGAAAAGAGAGUUAAACAGUACGUGAAAUUGUCAAAAGGGAAGCGUUUGACACCAGUGUUGUUUUUCUGAAAAUCAAUUAAAGAACUGUUUAUGCUAAGCUGUUUAGACUUUAUCAGCUAUCUGUUUAGUUUUGAGCUUUUCUUUAAUGCACUUUUCAGUUAACAAGUCAACAUCAAUUUCUUUUGCUGUAAAAAAGCUUGAGGAAGGUGGCUUGAGAUUCGUCUUAAGUGUUUAUAGCCUCUUGCCUAUGCAGUCGGAGAGAUCGAGGUCUGCAGCGUAGAUCCUUCGGGGCUAAGUGCAUUUGUGCUAAGUUAUAGCAUUUUAUAGACAACUUGUUGACUAUGAUUUGUCUUGUAGCUUACUCGCUUAUGUUAUUUUACCUACGCUUAGGAUGUUGACGCAUGAGAUAUACGC